rnacentral:rRNA from 1 species
UACGUAGGGUGCGAGCGUUAAUCGGAAUUACUGGGCGUAAAGCGUGCGUAGUCGGUUAUUCAGGUCGGGCGUGAAAGCCCCGGGCUCAACCUGGGAAUUGCAUUCGAGACUGCAUUGCCGGAGUACGGAAGAGGGAGGCGGAAUUCCCGGUGUAGCGGUGAAAUGCGUAGAUAUCGGGAGGAACAUCAGUGGCGAAGGCGGCCUUCUGGUCCAGUACUGACACUCAAGUGCGAAAGCGUGGGGAGCAAACAGG